rnacentral:rRNA from 1 species
AGAGUUUGAUCCUGGCUCAGAGUGAACGCUGGCGGUAGGCCUAACACAUGCAAGUCGAACGGCAGCACAGUAAGAGCUUGCUCUUAUGGGUGGCGAGUGGCGGACGGGUGAGGAAUACAUCGGAAUCUACUUUUUCGUGGGGGAUAACGUAGGGAAACUUACGCUAAUACCGCAUACGACCUACGGGUGAAAGCAGGGGAUCUUCGGACCUUGCGCGAUUGAAUGAGCCGAUGUCGGAUUAGCUAGUUGGCGGGGUAAAGGCCCACCAAGGCGACGAUCCGUAGCUGGUCUGAGAGGAUGAUCAGCCACACUGGAACUGAGACACGGUCCAGACUCCUACGGGAGGCAGCAGUGGGGAAUAUUGGACAAUGGGCGCAAGCCUGAUCCAGCCAUACCGCGUGGGUGAAGAAGGCCUUCGGGUUGUAAAGCCCUUUUGUUGGGAAAGAAAUCCAGCUGGUUAAUACCCGGUUGGGAUGACGGACCCAAA